rnacentral:lncRNA from 1 species
GAAAACCACGUUGGUCAAAUACAACAGCUAUAACUGAAGAGUUCCUGGGGAUGGGGAGAUGGCUCAGUAGUUACAAUGUUACUUUACAAACAUGAAGACCUGAGUUCAGAUCCUCAGUGGCCACAUGGUACCCACCCUUCUGUAACCCCAAUGUCCCCAAGGUAAGUGGCAAACAGACCGAGCUCAUAGACUCAUUGACCAGCCAGUCUAGCUGAAAUGGGACGUUCCAUGUUCAGCUAGAAAUGUAUCAGAAAUAAAUAA